AUUGAACGCUGGCGGCAGGCCUAACACAUGCAAGUCGAACGGUAACAGAAAGUAGCUUGCUACUUUGCUGACGAGUGGCGGACGGGUGAGUAAUGUCUGGGGAUCUGCCUGAUGGAGGGGGAUAACUACUGGAAACGGUAGCUAAUACCGCAUAAUGUCGCAAGACCAAAGCGGGGGACUUUCGGGCCUCGCACCAUCAGAUGCACCCAGAUGGGAUUAGCUAGUAGGUAGGGUAAUGGCUUACCUAGGCGACGAUCCCUAGCUGGUCUGAGAGGAUGACCAGCCACACUGGAACUGAGACACGGUCCAGACUCCUACGGGAGGCAGCAGUGGGGAAUAUUGCACAAUGGGCGCAAGCCUGAUGCAGCCAUGCCGCGUGUAUGAAGAAGGCCUUCGGGUUGUAAAGUACUUUCAGUCAGGAGGAAGGGUGUGAAAUUAAUACUUUCAUGCAUUGACGUUACUGACAGAAGAAGCACCGGCUAACUCCGUGCCAGCCGCCGCAGUAACAC
rnacentral:rRNA from 1 species